rnacentral:rRNA from 1 species
AGUGAACGCUGGCGGCAGGCCUAACACAUGCAAGUCGAACGGCAUCACAGUAAGCUCUCUCCUUUACCGGUGGCGAGUGGCGGUCGGGUGAGGCGUACAUCAGCUUCUACUUUUUCUUGGGUGACAACGUAGUCAAACUUCCGCUAACACCGCAUACGACCUACGGCUGAAAUCAGUUGAUUUUGUUACUUUGCGUGUCUCUAUUAGCAGAUGUCGCACUAGCUAGUCGGAUGGGUAAAGGCACACCAAGCCGACGAUCCGUAGCUGGUCUGAGAUGAUGAUCGGCCACACUGGAACUGAGACACGGUCCAGACUCCUACGGGAGGCAGCAGUAGGGAAUAUUGGGCAAUGGGCGAAAGCCUGAUCCAGCCAUACCGCGUGAGUGAGGAAGGCCUUCGGAUUGUAAAGCCCUUUUGUUGGGAAAGAAAAGCAGUGGAAGCAUACCCCGCCGUUUUGACGGUACCGAAAGAAAAAGCACAGGCUAAAUACGUG